UGGAGGAACAACCCCAGUGGCGCAGCCAGCUCUGGAGCCCUGGAGUUAGCUCCCGCAGUAACCACAGAGCUCUCCGUCUGCAGGGCCUGGAGGCUCCAGGGCGGG
rnacentral:pre_miRNA from 1 species